rnacentral:rRNA from 1 species
UUAUGCAUCCCAACGCGUUGGGAGCUUUCCCAUAUGGUCGACCUGCAGGCGGCCGCGAAUUCACUAGUGAUUAGAGUUUGAUCAUGGCUCAGGAUGAACGCUAGCGGCAGGCUUAACACAUGCAAGUCGAGGGGUAACAGGGAUUGCUUGCAAUCCGCUGACGACCGGCGCACGGGUGCGUAACGCGUAUGCAACCUACCUUCUACAGGGGGAUAGUCAAUAGAAAUGUUGAAUAAUACCCCAUACGAUCAUUUAUCUGCAUAGAUUAAUGAAGAAAGCUCCGGCGGUAGAAGAUGGGCAUGCGUCCUAUUAGUUAGUUGGUAAGGUAACGGCUUACCAAGACAUCGAUAGGUAGGGGUCCUGAGAGGGAGAUCCCCCACACUGGUACUGAGACACGGACCAGACUCCUACGGGAGGCAGCAGUGAGGAAUAUUGGACAAUGGAGGCAACUCUGAUCCAGCCAUGCCGCGUGCAGGAAGACGGCCCUAUGGGUUGUAAACUGCUUUUAUACAGGAAGAAUUGUACCUACGUGUAGGUAUUUGACGGUACUGUACGAAUAAGGAUCGGCUAACUCCGUGCCAGCAGCCGCGGUAAUACGGAGGAUCCAAGCGUUAUCCGGAAUCAUUGGGUUUAAAGGGUCCGUAGGCGGUCUUUUAAGUCAGAGGUGAAAUCCUGCAGCUCAACUGUAGCAUUGCCUUUGAUACUGAGAGACUUGAGUUAUUGUGAAGUAGUUAGAAUGUGUAGUGUAGCGGUGAAAUGCAUAGAUAUUACACAGAAUACCGAUUGCGAAGGCAGAUUACUAACAAUAUACUGACGCUGAGGGACGAAAGCGUGGGUAGCGAACAGGGUUAGAUACCCUGGUAGUCCACGCCGUAAACGAUGGAUCUUACUGUUCGACCAACAUUGGUUGGUUGAGUGGCUAAGCGAAAGUGAUAAGU